GAGAGAUUUGUUGUUGUUUUUAACUGUAAUGAUGUGCUGUUUAAGUGGAACAGGUGCUGGGCUCUAGCUGUUUGUGUUUAAACCUGCCAAAUCACACUCUUUUUGUUGGUUGGGUUGUUUAAGUAAUUUAGGAACCAGACUGUGGCCCCUGGCUUGCCAAGAGUGAGUUCAAGGUUCCAUCUCACUGCUGCAGAUCCCUGUCUCCACUGUGACAGGCAGGUAUCUGCCUGAACUGGAGCUUAUGCUGUAGACAUUUCUUUGUGGAAUUCAUCUAAAAACCUGAGGAAAAGAAUAUUUGAGGACCAUUUGUAAAGAAAGAAAAGGAAGCAAUGACAUAAUGCCUGGUGGUGGAGCCAGUUAACUGGUAAACAUUGGAGUCUUCAGAAAAUAAGUGAAGGAAUGAGAGGCAAGGAAGAAAGUGUAUUCAUCCUGGAAGGACCUAAAACACUUUGAAACUUUAAACGAAUGUAAUGAUAGCUGUCAAAACCACCUUUGUCACCGUAAUGGAUGAAGU
rnacentral:lncRNA from 1 species